rnacentral:rRNA from 1 species
UACGGAGGGUGCGAGCGUUGUCCGGAAUCAUUGGGCGUAAAGGGCGCGUAGGUGGCGGGACAAGCGUGCGGUGAAAGCUCGGGGCUCAACCCCGAGUCGGCCGUGCGAACUGUUUUGCUUGAGCACUGUAGAGGCAGGCGGAAUUCCGGGUGUAGCGGUGGAAUGCGUAGAGAUCCGGAAGAACACCGGUGGCGAAGGCGGCCUGCUGGGCAGUAGCUGACACUGAGGCGCGACACGUGGGGAGCAAACAGG